CCGAAUGAUUUCAGUGGGAGAGAUCCGGUAAAACCGGACGCCGAAGGAGAAAACUUCUUAGAUCGCUCAUUUAGGAAGGGAAACUCUCAGGCAAAUGUACUGCUGAAAGACGGGGCUCUGGAGAGUUUCUCGAACGAGAACACCAAAGGGGAAGCCGAAAGGCGAAUCUCUCAGGUUAAAGGACAGAGGA
rfam:Desulfitobacterium metallireducens DSM 15288, complete genome.